rnacentral:rRNA from 1 species
UACGGGGGGAGCAAGCGUUGUUCGGAUUUACUGGGCGUAAAGGGCGCGUAGGCGGCGCGACAAGUCACUUGUGAAAUCUCUGGGCUCAACCCUGAACGGUCAAGUGAUACUGUCGUGCUAGAGUGCGGAAGGGGCAACUGGAAUUCUUGGUGUAGCGGUGAAAUGCGUAGAUAUCAAGAGGAACACCUGCGGCGAAGGCGGCUCUCUGGGACGGUACUGACGCUGAGACGCGAAAGCGUGGGGAGCGAACAGG